GACGAACGCUGGCGGCGUGCUUAACACAUGCAAGUCGAACGGAAAGGCCCUGCUUUUGUGGGGUGCUCGAGUGGCGAACGGGUGAGUAACACGUGAGUAACCUGCCCUUGACUUUGGGAUAACUUCAGGAAACUGGGGCUAAUACCGGAUAGGAGCUCCUGCUGCAUGGUGGGGGUUGGAAAGUUUCGGCGGUUGAGGAUGGACUCGCGGCUUAUCAGCUUGUUGGUGGGGUAGUGGCUUACCAAGGCUUUGACGGGUAGCCGGCCUGAGAGGGUGACCGGCCACAUUGGGACUGAGAUACGGCCCAGACUCCUACGGGAGGCAGCAGUGGGGAAUAUUGCACAAUGGGCGGAAGCCUGAUGCAGCAACGCCGCGUGCGGGAUGACGGCCUUCGGGUUGUAAACCGCUUUCGCCUGUGACGAAGCGUGAGUGACGGUAAUGGGUAAAGAAGCACCGGCUAACUACGUGCCAGCAGCCGCGGUGAUACGUAGGGUGCGAGCGUUGUCCGGAUUUAUUGGGCGUAAAGGGCUCGUAGGUGGUUGAUCGCGUCGGAAGUGUAAUCUUGGGGCUUAACCCUGAGCGUGCUUUCGAUACGGGUUGACUUGAGGAAGGUAGGGGAGAAUGGAAUUCCUGGUGGAGCGGUGGAAUGCGCAGAUAUCAGGAGGAACACCAGUGGCGAAGGCGGUUCUCUGGGCCUUUCCUGACGCUGAGGAGCGAAAGCGUGGGGAGCGAACAGGCUUAGAUACCCUGGUAGUCCACGCUGUAAACGGUGGGUACUAGGUGUGGGGUCCAUUCCACGGGUUCCGUGCCGUAGCUAACGCUUUAAGUACCCCGCCUGGGGAGUACGGCCGCAAGGCUAAAACUCAAAGGAAUUGACGGGGCCCCGCACAAGCGGCGGAGCAUGCGGAUUAAUUCGAUGCAACGCGUAGAACCUUACCUGGGUUUGACAUGGAUCGGGAGCGCUCAGAGAUGGGUGUGCCUCUUUUGGGGUCGGUUCACAGGUGGUGCAUGGCUGUCGUCAGCUCGUGUCGUGAGAUGUUGGGUUAAGUCCCGCAACGAGCGCAACCCUUGUUCACUGUUGCCAGCACGUUAUGGUGGGGACUCAGUGGAGACCGCCGGGGUCAACUCGGAGGAAGGUGGGGAUGACGUCAAGUCAUCAUGCCCCUUAUGUCCAGGGCUUCACGCAUGCUACAAUGGCUGGUACAGAGAGUGGCGAGCCUGUGAGGGUGAGCGAAUCUCGGAAAGCCGGUCUCAGUUCGGAUUGGGGUCUGCAACUCGACCUCAUGAAGUCGGAGUCGCUAGUAAUCGCAGAUCAGCAACGCUGCGGUGAAUACGUUCCCGGGGCU
rnacentral:rRNA from 1 species